AGACGAACCGUCCAAACGUUAUUCGGAAUUACUGGGCUUAAAGGGUGCGUAGGCGGCCCGAUAAGUUGGGUGUGAAAUCCCACGGCUCAACCGUGGAACUGCGCUCAAUACUGUCGGACUUGAGGGAGAUAGAGGUGAGCGGAACUAAUGGUGGAGCGGUGAAAUGCGUUGAUAUCAUUAGGAACACCUGUAGCGAAAGCGGCUCACUGGGUCUCUUCUGACGCUGAGGCACGAAAGCUAGGGUAGCGAACGGGAUUAGAAACCCCGGUAGUCC
rnacentral:rRNA from 1 species